GUCCCUAUACCUCAGUUGGAUAGAGGAAUCGCCUCCGAAGUGAUCAGCCGCUGGUUCGAAUCCAGUUAGGGACGCCA
rnacentral:tRNA from 1 species